rnacentral:tRNA from 2 species
GGGCGAUUAGCUCAGGUGGAUAGAGCACGGGUCUCCGGAACCCGGUGCGCAGGUUCGAGUCCUGCAUCGCCCG